UCCACUCCUAAAUCGUAUCUCCACUAUCAAUGGCGGUUAUGAAAUUGAAAUCUUCCGCCUCCAUCUUUCUAAACCACCCUUCUCACUAUUCCGCAACCCAUUUAGGUGAAUCGGUUUCUGAUUUUCAUUCUCGUGAUUUUGCUAUGGUUUUAGGUCCAAAUUCAGAGAGACUUCCAAGAAGGAGAAUCCUAACAACAAGUUUGUCGCUGUGGUUUGGUGACACUGCUAGUGUUCAAAUCCACCAAGGGCUCACUUAAGGUGUUAUGUGGUUAUGACAUAGUGGAAUUUAUGUGCGCUAUGGAGUUGGUGGUUUCUUAAGCAGCAUUUCGAUCAUUGUUGUGGAUCAUGUGACAGAAAACAAUGGAAAAAGCUAUGAAAUCAAAUAGACAUAAGCGAUAAUCUGAGAAAUCGGUUUACAAAUCGCUUUGAUAUUUGCAAGCGAUAAUCUGCUAUCAACAACAACCAAAUCUGAUUUUUGUGUAUUGUUUUAUCGUUGAAGGCCUCCAACUUAUGGAAGGUACUCGCCAAGGAGUGAUUGUCUUAAAUAUGGAGGAUGGUACACUACAUUUCCAAGCUGAUUUCUUGUGGAAUAGUGAGAUAUUUUAUUCUGCACCAGGGUUAUGGUAAGGCGUACUUCUCAGCAACCUCAGCUCAUGCACUGCAGAUGGCAAUGCCGUGGCUUGAGGUUUUUUAUUCUAUAAUAUUUUGUGCUUUUUAAUAAUAAGAUAAGAUUUUUAUCUUAUAUUAUAUAGGAUUUAGAGUUUGUGCAAUUUCACCCAACCGUUAUAUAUGGAGCAGGUUGCCAUAUAACAGAAGUUGAGGAUGCAUCUGAUCUGAUGAAAAGAUUGUCCGAUAAGAAUAGGAGUUUCAUGGAAAAGAAACUCAAUAAACUUCAAGAGAGAUGGAGUUAUUUGGACCUCAAAUAGUGGAGACUACGAGGUUGUCAUUUACUGUCGGCCGUAAUAUAUAUUGGUUUUAGAAAAUGUAUGUCGAAUCUUAUUAUCACUUCUGUUUCAUCAUACUGGUUUUUUCUUUUUGUUGAUUUGAGACAGGGUAAUAUUAUUUAGAAUUGAUUGAAGAAUAUGAGUUUAACUGGCUAUGUUUCUGGAAAAAAUUGAUGACAGGCAAUGGCUGAUAUUGAAAAGGCCAUUAUGGAAGAUUGGAAGCUUUAGAUAAACACUUAACAAAUAUAUUGUGUUAAGUGUUUAUGUUUUUUUUAAAAAAUACACGGUUAGUCUAAUGUAAAUUUGUAUUGACUUAACCCCAAGAUGGUUUUUUCAAAAAAAAAUCACACGGUUAGUCUAAUGUAAAUUUAUAUUCUUAAUCCCAAGAUGGUUUUUUUCUUUUAUCGUGCUAUGAUUACAUGCCGGGAAGUGAUUAGAGCAAAUAAAUCUAAUGUAAAUUUGUAUUGACUUAAUCCAAGAUGGUUUUUUAAAAAAAAAAAUCACACGGUUAGUCUAAUGUAAAUUUAUAUUCUUAAUCCCAAGAUGGUUUUUUUCCUCUAUCGUGCUAUGAUUACAUGCCUUUCCUCUAUCGUGCUAUGAUUACAUGCUGGGAGGAGAUUAGAGCAAAUAAAUCUCAUAUAAUGGGUCCUAUGAUUACAUGCUGGGAGGAGAUUAGAGCAAAUAAAUCUCAUAUAAUGGGUCCUAUUUCAUAAGGUCCUAGAGCAAAUAAAUCUCAUAUAAUGGUAUUUUUGGAAUAAUUUCAUAGGAUCCUAUUUAAAGAGUAAAACUUUAUUUUUGAAAUAAUUUCAACCGAU